rnacentral:rRNA from 1 species
UACGGGGGGGGUAAGCGUUGUUCGGAAUUACUGGGCGUAAAGGGCUCGUAGGCGGCCAACUAAGUCAGACGUGAAAUCCCUACGAGUCUAACUGGGGAACUGCGUCUGAUACUGGAUGGCUUGGAUUCGGGAGAGGAAUGCGGAAUUCCAGGUGUAGCGGUGAAAUGCGUAGAUAUCUGGAGGAACACCGGUGGCGAAGGCGGCAUUCUGGACCGACAUUGACGCUGAGGAGCGAAAGCCAGGGGAGCAAACGGG